rnacentral:lncRNA from 1 species
AAACAAUACUGUACUUGAGAAAAUCUUGUAGGUGGUAUUGAUAUAUGGUAUAUAUAUUCCAUACAACAUAAAAAAAAUAAUUACCAGAGAUGAAAAAAAAAUUAACCUCUCUUUUUGUUGUUUGCAAACAUAUGAAUUUAAUUGAAUUUUUCUUCACAUUUUCUUCACCAUCGUUUAAGUUUUGACAUUCUAUUUCAUUCACUUAGAGACCAACUCAACCUAAAUUGUUACAAGCCAAAAUUUUGUGGGAACUCUUUUCCUUUUAACCUCCCUGGUGGUAAUCCCGAGCAUGGCCUGGGGUUAAUUUUCAGUACCGCAAGCGGUAACCCCGAGCCGUGCUCUGGAUUACACUGUAGUAUCACUUACCUUGUGCCUACGGGCCGCUGGUGUAAAAAAAUAUACACAAUACAUUGUAAAAACAAUGUACCACUUUAACAGUAAAAAAUACUGACCUAAUCAGACCGCCAGGGAGGUUAAUAAAUGGCAAUGAAACGGUAUGAAUGAAUAAGUAAAUUUGUAAUAUAAUUUCUGGAUAGAAUAAGACUUGGUAUUCCCCAUCUAAUAAUGAAAAGGAUUCUUACAUUUUUGAACUAUUUAGUGAUUGACACCGUUUUUAUUUCACCAUAAAGAUUACAUUUUAUCUAUUGUGACCAAUGAGUUAGACUAUAUCAAAUGUUUAAAACCUAUUUAAUACAAAAAAAGGUUGUUUUUUUCUUUCUUUCUUAGUACCUCUUGUUUUGGGAACAAUUAUUUUAAUGUGUUUUUGUAACACACAAAAUGUGUAUAUUUUAUGCCAUUUGCCACUGGUCAUUUUAAGUUGUCUAGUGUGUACAUUAAUGUGUGUGUGUGUAAUACCGUUCUUUAUAAACUGUAUAUACAUCUGUGAAUAAUAUAUAAUUUUGUGAUUACUUUGUUUAUUUUUCUGCUGAAAAUGAACACUAAUUCUUUUGGUAUGAAACAUAACUGCUAUUUUCUGAAAUAGAAGGUAUGUUGUUAACUUCAUGUAUCUCCUAGGGGGUAAGUGUAAUUUUUUUUCUGAACAUGAAUGCAUUAGUAACUUCUUCACAGUGGACAUUGGGACAGAAAAAAAGCACAUUAUUAUUAUUUUGUUUUUCUGUUCGUCUAUAUGCAAAAAUAAAUGUGAUCAGUCUGACUCUUUAAGUGACACAUUAACCUAACUCUACGUGUUCAUAUAUUAAAAGGACAUUUUGCAAUAUAGGAAUUAGCUAUGGAAUGCCCAAAAUAAGAAUAGUAUUUAAUACUUAGUUGCAGCUUCCCUUCAUGCUUGUUGCGAAUACCUGGUAUAGUGUACAUUGCUCACAUUGUCCUUGGUAUCCCAUAAUAGGUAUAGCACACCAGCCAAUCAGAAGUUUAAGUUGAGGGUUCUACUUGAUUGACUGGUUUGUGAACACAUAUGGCAGACUAUAUGUUGGGACAGCACAAGUACUUAAAAUGUUAAGUAAAUUCUUUUUAUGUGUGUAUUUCUAUUCAUCAGGAUGACAAAGCGUGCAGGGAUAUGUUUUUACUUUAUAUUUUUCUUCUUGGAGGACAGAUUUAACUAAUCGAGAUUUCAUUUCUUGAUCUUCCCACUGAAUCAAAAUUCUAUUUGGCCCAAAAUGUGAGAUUUAAAUUUUCAAUAGAUGUUAUUAACCUACUGUUUUCUUUUAUAUAUUAAAGGGACUCUUAUUAGCCCCAUAUUAAGCCCACUGUGUAUAAAAACUCUUGGCCCAGGAAGCUGUGUGUACCCUAGGGAAAUUUUGAAGGGACAACAUCUAUUCUAAGCAGACAAGGGCAUGUGUAAAGCAAAGUUUUACAAGAGAUGUUAACAAGGUCACAGAAAAUGAUCUGUAACUUUAAUGCAAACCAUCUUUAAAAGUUGAUCUGCAUCAUACCAGAGAAUGUCAAGCCUUGAUCAGUUUGCACUUUCAAACUUUUUUUUUUUUUUUUUAAUAUCUUUAUUUAAUAUUAUGAUAUAACUGAGGAAGCUUAUUUGAUCACAGUAGGACCCACAUAAUUUAAGAAAGGAGGGUCUGCUUUCAAGAAUUUCAGCAUUGGCUUAUUAUGUAUUUGUAUUUUUAUAAAUAAGUAAUACGACGGCUUAUUCAAGUAACCAUCCCAUGCCGUGCAGCACAACUCCUUUUAAUAUAAAGACUUGCGUGGGUUUCUUUUCUUGUGUCAUUUUAAAGUUACUAAAAUAAAAAUUGGUGGACGUUAACUGAUGCAUUCUUGUCCAAAAAUGUAUUUUUAAUGCUUUUAGCGCCUUUCUGGUGCAUAAAGUGCUUAAAUCAACUGACAGGCAAUAAUUUAAAGAGACCGUGUUAUCACGACUUGCGCAGUAGGCCUAGCAGCAGAUUUCUGUAGGUGUCUGAGCGGACAGUGUUCAGCUGGUACCUUCCUAAUGAUCAGCUGAUGUGAUAUAAGUGCAUUAUCACUUUAUAACUUUUUAUCUAUGAAUGUUAUUUGACUCCUCUACAUUGUAAUAUUACAUAUUGUGUAAAAAAGAAAUGGAUUGUUCAGAUAUUGUCUUUGUGUUCCGGGCUCUUGUUUAACCUCUACAUUAUAUCUCAUGGAUUAAAAAAAAAAAAAAAAAAUCAUAAAAAAAACCUCAAAUACCUUUUUUGACAUUUCCUCUGUGACGGAACAGUUUUUUCUAUAUGUUUAACACUUUGAGUGCUGGAAUGGAGAGUGACGCAUUGCGCUGCCCUCCAAACACUCGAAGGGUUGAAGUUGAACACUGAUAUGUUUUUGUGCCUUUGUUUCAUUGGAAGGGGAAGAGGGAACAACUGCUGUAAACAUCUCAAUCUUAUAUUGCUUUACAUAUAUAUAUAUUUUGUUUUGUAUUGUUAUGGAAGUCGAUUUAGCCGUUUUCAUUAUCUCAUCUCAUUCUUUGGUUUCUGACUAUUGUGAUCCAGCUAUUGUGUAAACCAAUUACCUCAAAUCUCACGUUAAACAGUGUUGCUAUCUUGGAAUUUUUGCCAUUCGAGACAGGAAAUUGUUGAUGCAAGUUUUUGACGUGUGAAAUAAAUGAAAAUGAAACCUAUUGAAAAGUUUUUUGGAAAAAUCCCAACAUUCUAAAGAAAUUGUGUAAAAUUAUUGAAUGGCAUUGUGUUGGAUGUCUGCUGUGUGAUAAUUUGUCGUUUACCUUCAACAACAAAAAAGUCCUAUAUUUGGUAGUGAACUGAAGUGUUAUAUACAUAACAUGGGCUAGGCAUGCCUGUCACCCCUCUAAAAAAAAAAAAAAUGAAAAAUAAUGUAUCAUAUAUGGGACUUCUCAAAUGCAUCAUCCUCUUGUGGUAUAGUUGCAGUAGAGCAAAGAUCAGAGCUUAUGUCAGCACAGCGUUAAUUCAGGACACCUUGUUACCAUAACCUCUUUGAAUUAUGAGACUUAAACCAGACAGAGCGCACGCCCUGGGUAAGGUCUGUGAAAGUGACAAAGAAGUGGAUAUGUUCUAGUACCAGUUGACUCCAGAUGUUGCCUUAUAUCUGACUUUCCUACUUCAAACCAGGUUCCUGUUCUAACCUGGGUUAUAGGCGUCAUUUAGUAAUAGCUGAAAGUAUGUACUCCCUUCAACAUCUAGAGACUAAUAAGUUACCCUAUAAUCAUUCAAGCACCAUUUAUAAUUUGACAGUGGUCCAAAAAUAGUUCAGUGAGUCUCUCUGGUGGUUGGGGCUGGCACAUCUUUAUUGUCCAUUCCCUGGUGCUACUCGCUCUAAAUUGUUUACUCUAGUGGUACUGCUUUCCUCAGGGCAUUGGCCAUCCCUGUGACACUGUGUAGAGCUUGAUGGUGUUUUGCAGAAUUUGUUUUAACAUUUUAUAGUUGAAGAAUGGAACACUGAACUCAUACUAAAACCGAGAUGUGUGUUACCAUGCUUAUGGUAGGUCCCUGUCACAAAAGGUUAAUAACCAGCCAUUUGAGGCACACAUUUUUAAAAGAUCAUAGGUGUUCAAAUAAGUUGCCAUUUGCUUGUUGCUGUUAUGAAAGAUUGGUUGAUUAAUGCACUGCCUUAAGGUCGGACCUAUGGGUAACAGGUUUCAUUCUUGGCUAGGUCUACUAAGUUCACAGGUCAAUUAUAAAGCACACCAUUACAAUAGAUAGUGGCUUAUUCCUUCAUCAGCUAAUUUGGUUAACAAUUCUGGUGUAUGCAAAAUAGAAGGGGUAAAAAAAAUGAUUUUGGAAACAUUUUUAGAUUGAUAUUCCUAUAUAAAUACACAUUACUGGAGUCCAACCACGAGUUGUGGGUGCUUUGACUGCUAACAUACAUUUGUCAAUUCUUUGAACAUAUUUUUUCCCAUCCACUGAUUAUAUUUUGGCCUAUAUUAAUAUAAUCAUAUCUAAGUGCUAACCAUCAACUCCCUCUGCAAACUCCUCACAGGAGUGGCUUUGCAUUGGUGGUUCCAUUUCCACUUUUGUCUUCAAAUGUGUGAUUUAGUGGAGGUUUAUCUCACACCUAUUUGGAUGUACGAACCAAAAGUACCGUCCUACAUCAUAAAGUCAUCAGAAAAACUGAAAAUAAUUUACUAACAAAUAUCCUCCUUUUUGGUGAACAUAUUUAAAAGUUAUACCUCAAUUUUAACACCGGAAAGAUUCACCUAAUCCACAAUAAAGUAGACGAGGUAAAAACUAGAAAAAUUUAAUCAAUAUCCUGAGGUAAAUGGGAUCACAGUCCACUCUGCAUGCACAAAUACAUACACAAACCACAUAUAUGCCCAGUGCAACUUUUUAAAAAUAAAACCGUGGAGUCAUUGCUUUUAUAUAUGGUCAUAAAGAGUCUAUGAUUCUUACAAAAUCAUCGUUCUUUUUGACAUUUCCUUUUGAUUGUCUUUUUUUUCCACUCUUGCAAACCGAAAAAACCCAAAUUAACACAAACUCAAUCUAUGAGAUGGAUUGUUAAUAUCUCAUUUACCGAUUGUAAAAUUGAGAUUACUCCAGCAGUGAGAGAUAAUCGCCUUAUAGUGUGGAAAAUUAUCUCCAAACAGAACCGGAUACUAUGGCCGUUUUGUAAGGACUAACAAAUGUUAUAGCUUAAUAUGUCCAACAAAAAUAAAAAUGUCAUUGUAAAAUGUAUGCAGGGGCUAGACAAACUGCAAAUGGAAUGUUUAUCCCUGUGACAUGGAAACGACAUAAUUACUUUUAAAAUGAUAAGCACACAAAAACAAGACUUUAAUAUUUGUUCUCUAGGAUUAUCAAAGCUAUUCAUAAUAUAUUUAUUUUUUUUUUGAGGGGGGCAGUGGAGUCAUGAGAUUCCUCUUUACAUACCACAACAGUUUAAAUCAAGAUAUUUUUUAAUCAGGGAAAGAAAAUUGAAGAUUCAGCAGUGUUUUUAUCAAAUGUAUUGGACUUUUAAUGUGUUUAUUCUUUGGACAGUGAGUUGUGGUUACAUGCAAAAUUCAAACCAUAAAAUAUAUUUUUAUUGUUUUCCAAAUCCAAUUAAAUUGCAUUUAAUAAUUAGACGAGACAACCCAUUCAAUUUCAAAAAGCCAUGAAAAUGAUCUACUCAAGGAUUCCCAUAAAACUCAGGCCGUGAUCUUUUUAGAGAAGUUUAAAUUAUUAGCGGUUUAUUUUCACUUAAUUCUCAGUCCACACAAUGCCAUUCAUAAACCUUUAGUUUAUCUGUAUUGAAAAACUUGCAUGUCUGGUGAAAUUUCAGAGUAACUUCAAUAUUGAUCUUUGAUAGUUAUCAAGAAGCUUACAGGAAUAUUCAUAUUUAAACUCAAACACAAGGGGAGGUCUGUAAAAAUGCCAUGGAACUCAAAGUAACAAUAUUUCUCACUAUUAUUAAUCAAAUAAAAUUAUUAAGAUUGAGAUUUUGGUGCAGAAUAUAUAUAUAUAAAAUUAGAAAAAAUCUCUUCAUCUUUAAAUCACUAAUCACUCUGUGAUCAUGGACACCUAUUUGUGGUGUGUAUAAAUUUAAUUGUCAGUUUAUCCACAGUUAAACUGUGGGGCUCGUUUUAGAGUUUUGAGUACCUUAAAGGAUUGUGUAUUUGUGAGAGUGGCACAAUCACUAUAGAAAUUAAUGGACUAUUCUCGUUAAAAGCGCUAGAAUUUCUUUUUUAUUUAUUUAUAUAUAACCCCUGGGCUCUCUUUACAAACCUCCCUUUUUAAUAGAAUGCUGUUUCACCCACUUCCAGGGGGACACCUUUAGGAAUAAGGGUAUUCAAUACAUACAUCAACCUUUCACAUUUCCACCCUGCAAGUUCCCAGGUUAAAAGCAGACUAGGGAUCAGUCUCCCAGAGGUGAAAACAGCUGUCAAAAACGGAAAACCAUACAAUAUAUGCAACAGUUAUUGAUCCUAUUAAACAUUCCUCUACAUUUUUGAUAUCGUAAGACUUCAACUUUUUCAGUUUUUGUUUUAAAAGCACAUUUGUGAAUGUAACAGUCAUUUAAACAGCACUGUCUUACAUACUUAUGGAACAAUCUUGGCAUCUGUAAAAAUCUUUGUCUAAAUAGCCAUGAGAAAAGAAUUUACCAUCUGUGUCGGGAUGACUUCAUCAAAUUAUUUAAAAGAUACCGAACGCUCUUAAAAGGUGUUUAGUUUUUUUAUAUAGAUAUUUAAAAAAAAAAAAAAGUUUUCAAAUCAUGGUUGUUUAUUUAGUUGUUUGUUUUUUUUUUGGUUUUUUUAUAUUAAAAGAUUGAAUUUUUUUUUUCAAAAAAGAGCAUUAUACAAAACAGCAUUUCAAGAAGUCUUUCCGAUGGUUAAAUAAGACAAAAGAUGCCCAAUCCUUGGUUCCAAUCCACCAGUACUGUUUGAAUACGAUGAGAAGUGAAAUGUACAAGAUUGUAUGUUAUAUUUCACUGUUGUAGCUAUAAAAAAAAACCAAUGUAGCAGAGAUAGUUUAUACUACUGAUUUAACAAACGUAAUGCUAAAAUAACUGUUUAAAAGAUUCUAUAUAUACCUAUAUAUACAUUUGAGCCUGUUGCUGUAACAUGUAUUAAACAAAUGGACUUUUUCUCAAUAGAUAUAUUGAUCUAGACAUAUCUGCUGUGUAGCAGUAGAUAUGUCUAUAUUGAUAAAAUAGGGGGUGGCAAAAUGGUAGCUCUGCAGCCAAGGUCACAGAUGCUUAUAAGCCACAAUAAUAGAUACCCCACCCAUCUAUGGGGCAGAAGCUGUAUUUCUUUGAGUGUGAUGGGUUGGGGCAGGACAUAUGUGAAACUGAUCGUGAAUACCAAUUAGUAAUGCCUAGAAGCCCCCACGUUUCCAGUAAAAUGGCUCACUAGGUAUGUACCUACCUACAGAACUCAAGUGAAAUGCAGCCCUGUUUUAAACUGUAGACGAAGGCAAUGUUCCCUGUAUGCAUAGUUUGAGAGUUCUAGCAUGAAAACAAAAAAGAAGGGUUUUUAGAAGAGCAAUCAUCUAAGUAAAACCUAACUUUUGUUUGUAUGCAAAACAUGUGUUGUGGUUGUUGUUGUUUUAAGGCUGGACUACUCUCCAGAUGUGCUUAAAGGGAACAUUUGUAAGACCAACAGCUAGAGAGCUACCAAUGACCACAUCGGCUGUAAAACCGUACGUUCAUUGUAUUGCAGUGAAGACAUGAAGGGUUUUGGGGUUUUUUGGAGAGAGAAUAAUGUAUCAUAGUACAUACAUUUGCUGUGAAGCGUUUGUCCCUUUAUACUGUAGUUCCAGUUUGACUGCUUUAAUUAUGUACACUGGGAGCCAGGAUAAAUAAUUAUGAAUGUAGUGUUUGCCCUGUGUGAAGCAGCCACAUCAUAACCGAUAGGAGGACAUUUUAGGAAGGACUAUUUGAAGUUUAUCUCUUUUGUAUAUUAAAAUGAACAAUAAAUUACAGGUAAAUAUUGA